rnacentral:rRNA from 1 species
GAUGAACGCUGGCGGCGUGCCUAAUACAUGCAAGUCGAGCGAAUGGAUUAAGAGCUUGCUCUUAUGAAGUUAGCGGCGGACGGGUGAGUAACACGUGGGUAACCUGCCCAUAAGACUGGGAUAACUCCGGGAAACCGGGGCUAAUACCGGAUAACAUUUUGAACCGCAUGGUUCGAAAUUGAAAGGCGGCUUCGGCUGUCACUUAUGGAUGGACCCGCGUCGCAUUAGCUAGUUGGUGAGGUGACGGCUCACCAAGGCAACGAUGCGUAGCCGACCUGAGGGGGUGAUCGGCCACACUGGGACUGAGACACGGCCCAGACUCCUACGGGAGGCAGCAGUAGGGAAUCUUCCGCAAUGGACGAAAGUCUGACGGAGCAACGCCGCGUGAGUGAUGAAGGCUUUCGGGUCGUAAAACUCUGUUGUUAGGGAAGAACAAGUGCUAGUUGAAUAAGCUGGCACCUUGACGGUACCUAACCAGAAAGCCACGGCUAACUACGUGCCAGCCGCCGCCUAA